GCUAGCAUAGCUUAAUUAAAGCAUAACACUGAAGAUGUUAAGAUGGGCCCUAAAAAGCCCUGCCCGCA
rnacentral:tRNA from 1 species